rnacentral:rRNA from 1 species
AGUGAACGCUGGCGGUAGGCCUAACACGUGCAAGUCGAACGGCAGCACAGUAAGAGCUUGCUCUUACGGGUGGCGAGUGGCGGACGGGUGAGGAAUACAUCGGAAUCUACUUUUUCGUGGGGGAUAACGUAGGGAAACUUACGCUAAUACCGCAUACGACCUACGGGUGAAAGCAGGGGAUCUUCGGACCUUGCGCGAUUGAAUGAGCCGAUGUCGGAUUAGCUAGUUGGCGGGGUAAAGGCCCACCAAGGCGACGAUUCGUAGCUGGUCUGAGAGGAUGAUCAGCCACACUGGAACUGAGACACGGUCCAGACUCCUACGGGAGGCAGCAGUGGGGAAUAUUGGACAAUGGGCGCAAGCCUGAUCCAGCCAUACCGCGUGGGUGAAGAAGGCCUUCGGGUUGUAAAGCCCUUUUGUUGGGAAAGAAAAGCAGCAGGUUAAUACCCCGCUGUUCUGACGGUACCCAAAGAAUAAGCACCGGCUAACUUCGUG